UCUCUCUGAAAUGCCAUGUUCAUCUGACAGUCAGCAGAAAAGGAGUGCUCAAUUACUUCAUUAAUUAAAUGGGUGACUCCCACAGCAACCGUAAAGAAGUUGCUGGCUGCAUCUGGGGGGGGUGAAUGGGAAGUUAAUUGCCAGUUACAGUCUCUGCCAUUCCAGCUGCCUGUAAUGUGUGUGUUCCUGUUUAUUUGGUCUCUGUUUGAACUGGAAAGAGGGAAGGUUCUGCUGUCUGCUGUUUACUCAUUUUUAAAAUAACGAUUUAGCUUCUAAACCUGCCGUGCCAGGAGCGAGCUGAACCAUGUGCCAGGAACAACAUGAUUCUUCCAGUAACGUUUCCCUGCCCAACCUGGUUCCAACAGCCCCAGCAGGCAGGUCCUUCCUGGCACCUCCGUUACAAGCCUUUGGCACCUGGGAAUGGCUGGCCUGGAGUGGUAUCAUCUCAGACAACGCUGGUCGCAGGGCAUGUUGGGCUGGUUUCGAAGACCUGAAGCAAAGGGAGAGGGGCUGGUGCUGCAGAGGGCCACCAGCGGGGCUGCUGCAUCUGCAUGGCUGCUCAGUUCUCAUGUGGAACAUGCCCAGUGGGUCACCUGGAUCCAGCUUGUCCAAGACUGCAAGACGCGCAGCUCCCCCACCUGUUGCUGUGGUGAUCAGCGGGGCACAGUGCUGCUCCGGGAGGCACGGCUGCGGGAUGGACGGUGUCUCCAAGAGACAUUUUCUUUUCUCCUCCCAAGUCCUGGGCUCUGGCCAGAGGGGGAGCCCAGGGGAAACAGGAGACGGCUGUGCUGGAGAAGUAAUAGUCCCACUGGCCUCACCCAGGACCUGCUGGGUUCAGGGCAGUCUGUCCCCCAGGGUCUUGGCCAUUCCUAGCUGGGAAUGGCCCGGCAGUGAGCUCCCCACCAUUCCCCAGCCUCAGCCCUCAGUGUCCCAGAGGUCUCCUGCACAAGCCAGCAAUGGAGGAACAGUGGGGCCCUGCAGAACAGGAACCAAAUGAGCGGAGGCGGGAUUAAAUAAGACGUGGCCCAAUAUCCCAGGGGAGGUUCCCUCUGGCUCCUCACUGGAACAUCAGUCUUCUGUCCAGGCUCAGGGCUCUGGAGACCUGGGUUCCGAUCUAGCCUGGUGUCACAGAUGGAAAGGGGGUGUCUCAUUCUCGCCCCUUCACUGCAGUGUAGUGGCGGGAAAGGGAUGCCCCUGCUGCCCUGGCCAUUGGUAAAGUCCUUUGGGAUCCUGGGCUCCAGGGCGGUAAUUGCCUGCGGUGUGCUGCUCUCAGCAGAGAGCUGCAGCCGCAGGCUGUCUGCCCAGGAGCCUGCAGGGACUGACAGAGACCUGGGCCCGCUUCUGAGUAAAGGAGGGAGAUGCGUAAACUCGCUGUGUUCCUGCAGAGAGAAGCGCGGCUGUCAGGGAGCUGGAGCCCCAGUCAAGGCAGAGACGCUGCCCUUGAUCCCAGGGGUGCUGUGCAAGCGACAGGGAGGCUGCGGCGUAGGUCCCUGCUGUAGGCAGAGCUGGAGCCCGCGUUGGAAAAGCACCCAGCGGGCCCCGUGGUGAGAGCCUUGUGGCCCUGCCUGUGCAGAGUCUGAGCAUUGUGCCCCCUGUCAGAGUGUGCCCCUGUGCUCACACCCUGCACGCUGUUGUAAUGAUGUUUGUACAGGCCAUGCCAUGUGAGGUAGCAUUUAAAACCUCAUCAUCUGCUGAUCAGUAAUAUCAUGGCAAAAUGCACGUAGCAGCGUUGUGUGUGAAGUUAUACACAAGCUGAGAUCACAACUAAAAGUGUGUUUCCAGAGAUGACUGGGGAGUGACCAAAAGAAAAGUCAAGCUGAUGUCUCAGCCAGGUGUAAACAAGGCUGAUGGGCCAUUACCUGCGCAUUGCCCACUCUUUGGCAGGAAAGGGGGCAGAGCAAAAAUCUACAUCUUAGCAAAGAAAUAGCAUGGAGUUCCCGUCCACACAGACUGCCUGUCGCCUUGCUCCUAGCUGGAAAUGCUUCUCAAAGUGGGGACAGGACUAUAAAAAGAAGGGACAAACACCCCUAGACACCCCUCCCUCCUUCUAUCUCUCUCUCCCCCCUCCCUGCUCAUCACAUUCACUGCACCUGAAGAGACGUAGGAAGGAGCCGUUGGACGUUGGGGGAGGGGUCCUGACCUGAGAGUCUGGUCAGUCAGGCUGCUGAAAGCACAUGGUGAGAGAACUUUGCUUUGAAUCUAACAUCGUUUGUUAAGUUAGGCACCAGUGUUUGAUCUUUAUUUUUCUUUUAACCAUUUCUGACUUUUAUGCCUCACUACUUGGACUCCCUUAAAAUUUCUCGCUUUGUCGUUAAUAAACCUGUUUGCGUGUUUUAUCUA